rnacentral:rRNA from 1 species
ACUUAUUAUUUAAGCUUCUACACCUAAAAAUAAUUUUAAUCCAACAUCGAGGUCGCAAACUUUUUUAUAAAUAUGAACUUUUAAAAAAAAUUACGCUGUUAUCCCUAAGGUAAUUUUAAUUUUUAAUCAAUAAAAUUAGAUCAAAAAUUCAUUAAUUUAUGUAAAAAAAAUAAUAAAAGGUUUUUAAAUUUUAUUGUCACCCCAACAAAAUAUUUAUAUUUAUAAAAAUUUUAAUUUUCAUAAUAAUUUAUAUAAAUAUAAAUAUUAAACUCUAUAGGGUCUUCUCGUCUUUUAAUUUUAUUUAAGCAUUUUAACUUAAAWUWUAAAUUUUAUUAUUAUUUUUUUGAUACAGUUAAUAUUUCGUUCAACCUUUCAUACAAGUUUUCAAUUAAAAAACUAAUGAU